UGGUUCUGGCAUCGAUGAAGAACGCAGCGAAAUGCGAUAAGUAGUGUGAAUUGCAGAAUUUAGUGAAUCAUCGAAUCUUUGAACGCACAUUGCGCCCUUCGGCAACCCGUCGGGCAUGCCUGUUCGAGCGUCAUUUAACCCUUCAAGCCAUGCUUGGUGUUGGGCGUCUGUUCCGCCGUGGUGCGUGAACUCGCCUCGAAUCGAUUGGCAGCCGGUAGGCCUGGCUUCGCGUGCAGCACAUUGCAUGGCGGCUCCAGCCUGCUGCUUCCAGCAAGCCCACCCCCUCGUUUGACCUCGGAUCAGGUAGGGAUACCCGCUGA
rnacentral:misc_RNA from 1 species